rnacentral:rRNA from 1 species
UACAGAGGUCUCAAGCGUUGUUCGGAUUCAUUGGGCGUAAAGGGUGCGUAGGUGGCGCCUGUAAGUCGGGUGUGAAAUUUCGGAGCUUAAACUUCGAAACUGCAUUCGAUACUGCCGGUGCUUGAGGACUGGAGAGGAGACUGGAAUUUAUGGUGUAGCGGUGAAAUGCGUAGAGUAUCAUGAGGAAGACCAGUGGCGAAGGCGGGUCUCUGGACAGUUCCUGACACUGAGGCACGAAGGUCCAGGGGGAGCAAAACGGGAUUAGAUACCCGGAGUC